UAUCUCAGUCGGUAGAGCAUGUGACUCUUAAUCCCAGGGUCAUGGGUUCAAGCCCCAU
rnacentral:tRNA from 1 species